rnacentral:rRNA from 1 species
GAUGAACACUGGCGGCAUGCCUAAUUCAUGCAAGUCGAGCGAACUGAUUAGAAGCUUGCUUCUAUGACGUUAGCGGCGGACGGGUGAGUAACACGUGGGCAACCUGCCUGUAAGACUGGGAUAACUUCGGGAAACCGAAGCUAAUACCGGAUAGGAUCUUCUCCUUCAUGGGAGAUGAUUGAAAGAUGGUUUCGGCUAUCACUUACAGAUGGGCCCGCGGUGCAUUAGCUAGUUGGUGAGGUAACGGCUCACCAAGGCAACGAUGCAUAGCCGACCUGAGAGGGUGAUCGGCCACACUGGGACUGAGACACGGCCCAGACUCCUACGGGAGGCAGCAGUAGGGAAUCUUCCGCAAUGGACGAAAGUCUGACGGAGCAACGCCGCGUGAGUGAUGAAGGCUUUCGGGUCGUAAAACUCUGUUGUUAGGGAAGAACAAGUACAAGAGUAACUGCUUGUACCUUGACGGUACCUAACCAGAAAGCCACGGCUAACUACGUGCCAGCCGCCGCCGUAAGAC